GUGCUCACUUCGGCAGCACAUAUACUAAAAUUGGAACAAUACAGAGAUUAGCAUAGCCCCUCUGCAAGGAUGGCAUGCAAAUUCAUGAAGGAUACCAUAGUUUU
rnacentral:snRNA from 3 species